rnacentral:rRNA from 1 species
UACAGAGGGGGCGAGCGUUGUUCGGAAUUACUGGGCGUAAAGGGCGCGUAGGCGGCCAACUAAGUCAGACGUGAAAUCCCUCGGCUCAACCGGGGAACUGCGUCUGAUACUGGAUGGCUUGAAUUCGGGAGAGGGAUGCGGAAUUCCAGGUGUAGCGGUGAAAUGCGUAGAUAUCUGGAGGAACACCGGUGGCGAAGGCGGCAUCCUGGACCGAGAUUGACGCUGAGGAGCGAAAGCUAGGGGAGCAAACGGG